AAAUAUGAUGAUCAAGAUAAAGCUGCUAACUUUUUUCUUUAGCGGUUAAAUUCCGUUAAUAUUUCUAUUUAU
rnacentral:tRNA from 1 species